UCGGGCAAUAGUGUCAGAGCUCUCGCCCAUUAAACCUCAUAUCUUCAUAACCCAAAACCCAAGUGAUUUGUGACCAAGCCCAUGAAGAAAUUAGCCCAUUGAAAGAGAGAGAGUUGAAUGUGUUUUGCGAAGGAAACAGAGAGUCGCAGAGAGAACUUCUGAUUGGCGAUGAUCUCCAUUCACUGCUGCAUCUCUGAUGCUCUUCUAGGGUUAGCCUCUCUGAAACUCUGAAUCUUAUUUCUAAUCCGGUGAUCAAUGAUGGAAAAGAGUGAUUCUAUUGAUCGAAAUUGGUUUGCAUGUAGUCGGUUGUUUCGCUCGUUCCAGAUCCAGUAGAGAGUAGCUUGCUAGCCGAGGAGAGUCAGAGAACGAGUAAAAGCUGGUGGAAGCAGAGUUAUCAUUUGGUGAAGAGUGUUCUCCCAUCUACGUUCCGGCGUGAUUCUGCAUCUGGCAGCGACAACUUGCAUCUUCUAGAAAUACAUGUUUAACUAUUCAUGCAUGUAUGUUGUAUAUAUUUAUACGUUUGUAUACAUGUAUUUUUAGUAUAUAUAUACUAUCCAUACUGGUUUCUCGAGACAGAAUAUGAAAGAGAAUCUGUAUAGAUAGAUUGAUCAACCAUGUCAACCAAACAAAAUAAAUAUAUAGCUAGAUAUUUU
rnacentral:lncRNA from 1 species